rnacentral:rRNA from 1 species
UCAGAUUGAACGCUGCGGCAGGCUAAUACAUGCAAGUCGAACGGUAACGGCAGGAAGCUUGCUCCUGGCUGACGAGUGGCGGACGGGUGAGUAAUACCUGGGGAGCUGCCUGAAUGAGGGGGACAACACCUGGAAACGGGUGCUAAUACCGCGUAAGCCCUGAGGGGGGAAAGGCCGGGCAACCGGUCGCAUUCAGAUGCGCCCAGGUGGGAUUAGCUAGUUGGUGGGGUAACGGCCUACCAAGGCGACGAUCUCUAGCUGGUCUGAGAGGAUGAUCAGCCACACUGGAACUGAGACACGGUCCAGACUCCUACGGGAGGCAGCAGUAGGGAAUAUUGCACAAUGGGGGGAACCCUGAUGCAGCCAUGCCGCGUGUGUGAAGAAGGCCUUUUGGGUUGUAAAGCACUUUCAGUAUGGAGGAAGUGAGCUGAGUUAAUAGCUUAGUUCAUUGACGUUACAUACAGAAGAAGCACCGGCUAACUCCGUGCCAGCCGCAGC